rnacentral:sRNA from 1 species
UUUAGAUAUACAUAAUAUUUUGUUUUUAAGUGUUAAAGUUUAAUAUGUGUAAAAUAAUUGGACACAACAUCCCGUCCAUAGUAUGAAGUCCUUAUACGGUGUUCUACGUUCAAUAUGUUUUAAGUAAU